UACGAAGGGGGCUAGCGUUGCUCGGAAUCACUGGGCGUAAAGCGCACGUAGGCGGAUAUUUAAGUCGGUGGUGAAAUCCUGGAGCUCAACUCCAGAACUGCCUCCGAUACUGAAUGUCUUCGAGUCCGGGAGAGGUGAGUGGAACUGCGAGUGUAGAGGUGAAAUUCGUAGAUAUUCGCAAGAACACCAGUGGCGAAGGCGGCUCACUGGCCCGGUAUUGACGCUGAGGUGCGAAAGCGUGGGGAGCAAACAGG
rnacentral:rRNA from 1 species